UUCUUCCUCUAAUGCAACAUCUGCCAGUAAUUGAGAAGAAAAAAAGAUAACAUCAACUGGCAUAUGUCGGAGUUUGGUUAAAAAGGGGGAUGAACGCAAUUUUGUUAUCAAGGUCACGCCAUUUUAAUAUAAAAAAGGAAAAAAACUGUCGUUUGUUUCUUCAGGAUAACAAAGAAAACGUCGAGAAACACCAAAUGCUGAUUUUAAAGAUCGAUUGAAUUUGCUUUACAACGAUGGGACUAAGGGAUUCGACUGGCUAUAUAAAUGGGCGAGGCUAUUAGCCGUUGGGGUUCUAAAAGAAACAAACAUGUGGUCCAUUAACUGCCCAAAAAAAGCUAUCUGUACAACCUUUACGACAGGCUGCGAGACGAUAUGAACCAACGUGUCUUGCAACAGCUUUACAAUUUCACAGAAAUAACAAAAACGUGUGUGGCACACCAGAAAAUGGAUGUAAACUACCUUUCUGUAGUGCAACAGUAACGAAACUUGGUGAAUAUUAAAUAAAAGUGGACUGAACUUUACUGUUGUUUCAGUCGACUUUUACGAGAUUUUAUCUGACCAUAAGUUUUAAAAGUCUACCUUUUGUUGAUCCCAGUCUGAAAUUCGUCACUCGGAUGUCUCAUUUGCCGGGAAAGACAGGAACCACCCACGUGUGAAACAAAGGAUUCAUUUGAAGAUGAGUCUGGAGACGACUCACGACCUAAAACGUGUGAAGCCUUUUCUCGAUGACAUUAUCCAAUCAAAAGCAUUCGACGAGAAAUAAUAUGGAAUCAAGACAAAAUUGGAAACCUGCUUCCAUUUUCCUUGUUGUAGCUGUCGUCUUGGCUAUAGCCUAGAAACUCUCGGCUGCACUGAUUAGAGGAUCAGUGUCCCAUUUAAUAGCCCUCGUAAAUCACCAUGAAAAGCCAAUAAAAAGAGAUCAUUAAAAUAAACACGACUCCCUAGGCCCCGGCACGCUCGUAAAUAAACAAACAUUGGCCCUCAAAAGUGGUCGUAAAAAUGUUUCCAAGCCAUCCACCAAACCCGGAAUAUAUUCCUCAUUUCCAAUGUAGGUACCACUGUACUUACGUAGCUUGUUACAGUACGUGAUUAUUACGAGCCGGUAUACGUAAGGCAAAGUCGCAUGCAAGUCUGAUCGGCAUUUUACGACGUGUGUUACUGCAGCUAUUUUGGAACGUUUUAAGAGACUAAAAGAGUCGCCUAUGUGAUGACGUGAAACCA